AAAUCAAUUGAAUUAAAUUCUUACUAAUUUCUUGUUUCCAAACAGACUGUUAAAGAAAAAUUCAUUCACUGGAGUAAUUCCUAAUGUUUUUCCCUGAACGGGUUGAAAUUGAGGCUGUAUAGCCGAUUCCAACUAGUUGAUUUGAGGAACCUGACGAGGGUAGACACUCUGAAUAAUAGGAAUAGGCUAUUAACAUGAUGGCUACGUUUUUCUUUUUUCCCUUUGCAAGUCUUCUUGUAGAUCAAAUAGAAUAGAUCAAAG
rnacentral:misc_RNA from 1 species